rnacentral:rRNA from 1 species
CCUACGGGGGGCAGCAGUCGGGAAUAUUGGGCAAUGGGCGCAACCCUGACGCAGCAACGCCGCGUGAAGGAAGAAGGUUUUCGGGUUGUAAACUUCUUUCAAGGGGGAAGAGCAGAAGACGGUACCCCUUGAAUAAGCCACGGCUAACUAGGUGCCAGCAGCCGCGGAAAUACGUAGGUGGCAAGCGUUGUCCGGAUUUACUGGGUGUAAAGGGCGUGCAGCCGGAGAGACAAGUCAGCUGUGAAAUCCACGGGCUCAACCCGGGAACUGCAUUUGAAACUGUUUCCCUUGAGUGUCGGAGAGGUAAUCGGAAUUCCUAGUGUAGCGGUGAAAUGCGUAGAUAUAAGGAAGAACACCAGUGGCGAAGGCGGAUUACUGGACGAUAACUGACGGUGAGGCGCGAAAGCGUGGGGAGCAAACAGGAUUAGAUACCCGAGUAGUC